CGGGAGGGAAGAGGACCCGUCUUCACAGGUGGGGCAGGCCGAUGCACAGGGACGGGGUACAGCCAGGAAGGAAAUUCAGAAAUUCCCGACAUCCUCAAGUCAAGACCAGGUGGAGGGGAGCUACUGACCCACAAAAGUGCCCACAUCGCGAGUGCUGGAAACAAUCUGGGCAGAAGACGCGUGGCCUUUAACCCUAACCCAGGGGUUGACCUAUGGCUGCAAGUCACACUGGUAAGCCCUGCAUCUCCUGGCUACAACUUAGGCUGUGUGGCUUUUGCCCCGGUCUUCAGAGGUCUUUCGGGAGAUCCGAUAUCAGAGGCUCUGCAACUGCCCAGGGCUCAGCUUCCCUGCUCGAGCCGCAGCUGCCAGGGUGGAGGUGCGACAGCCCCGAAGACUGUAUCUUCAGUCAGUCAUUUUUAAUGAUAUACCGGUAGUCAGGUCAUCAAACUGAAACCCCUCUGUACACAGUGGAAAUGAAUCUUAGUGCAUGCUCUGAGACCAGGGCAAAGGCCUCCAAAAGAUAAAUUUCUUUUGCUAGCCA
rnacentral:lncRNA from 1 species